AGAACUUAGCAGAGAUGCUUUGGUGCCUUCGGGAACUCUGAGACAGGUGCUGCAUGGCUGUCGUCAGCUCGUGUUGUGAAAUGUUGGGUUAAGUCCCGCAACGAGCGCAACCCUUAUCCUUUGUUGCCAGCGGUUAGGCCGGGAACUCAAAGGAGACUGCCAGUGAUAAACUGGAGGAAGGUGGGGAUGACGUCAAGUCAUCAUGGCCCUUACGAGUAGGGCUACACACGUGCUACAAUGGCGCAUACAAAGAGAAGCGACCUCGCGAGAGCAAGCGGACCUCAUAAAGUGCGUCGUAGUCCGGAUUGGAGUCUGCAACUCGACUCCAUGAAGUCGGAAUCGCUAGUAAUCGUGGAUCAGAAUGCCACGGUGAAUACGUUCCCGGGCCUUGUACACACCGCCCGUCACACCAUGGGAGUGGGUUGCAAAAGAAGUAGGUAGCUUAACCUUCGGGAGGGCGCUUACCACUUUGUGAUUCAUGACUAGGGUGAAGUCGUAACAAGGUAAGCGUAGUGCU
rnacentral:rRNA from 1 species